AGAGUUUGAUCCUGGCUCAGGAUGAACGCUGGCGGCGUGCUUAACACAUGCAAGUCGAACGAAGCACUCUUUUAGAUUUCCUUCGGGGAAGAAGAAAUUGUGACUGAGUGGCGGACGGGUGAGUAACGCGUGGGCAACCUGCCCCAUACAGGGGGAUAACAGCCGGAAACGGCUGCUAAAACCGCAUAAGCGCACAAGGGCCGCAUGGCCUGGUGUGAAAAACUCCGGUGGUAUGGGAUGGGCCCGCGUCUGAUUAGCUAGUUGGCGGGGGAGAGGCCCACCAAGGCGACGAUCAGUAGCCGACCUGAGAGGGUGGCCGGCCACAUUGGGACUGAGACACGGCCCAAACUCCUACGGGAGGCAGCAGUGGGGAAUAUUGCACAAUGGGGGAAACCCUGAUGCAGCGACGCCGCGUGAGCGAAGAAGUAUUUCGGUAUGUAAAGCUCUAUCAGCAGGGAAGAAAAAUGACGGUACCUGAGUAAGAAGCACCGGCUAAAUACGUGCCAGCAGCCGCGGUAAUACGUAUGGUGCAAGCGUUAUCCGGAUUUACUGGGUGUAAAGGGAGCGCAGGCGGUGCGGCAAGUCUGAUGUGAAAGCCCGGGGCUCAACCCCGGGACUGCAUU
rnacentral:rRNA from 1 species